GAUGAACGACUGGCGGCGUGCCUAACACAUGCAAGUCGAACGAAGUUACUAAAAGGAAUUUUCGGAUGGAAUUUUGGUAUACUUAGUGGCGGACGGGUGAGUAACGCGUGAGCAACCUGCCUUUCAGAGGGGGACAACAGUUGGAAACGACUGCUAAUACCGCAUAACAUAUGACCAAGGCAUCUUGGACAUAUCAAAGGAGCAAUCCGCUGAAAGAUGGGCUCGCGUUGGAUUAGAUAGUUGGUGGGGUAACGGCCUACCAAGUCAACGAUCCAUAGCCGGACUGAGAGGUUGAACGGCCACAUUGGGACUGAGACACGGCCCAG
rnacentral:rRNA from 1 species